GCUCCUUCAACAACAACGGCUAGUCAGACACCUCGGUAGCUUUCUAGCAAACAUAGCUACAACAUUCACGCUCUUUACACUGUUUUGGUGUAUAUUAGUCGAUGUGUAUUAAACACACUUAUGCACUUGUUGGCCCAUUUAAUUAUAUAUUUACGUUGUUUGUCAGCUAGCUUGCUUGCUAAAUUAGCUUAGAACUAGGCUAGUCGCUAAUGCUAGCUAGCGAACAUCUCCGACCAUGAGUUCACUAAGCUACUCUCCUCCUGCUAAAGAAGAGGGGGUCUGCUGGACGGAGAAAGAAGCUCUUGUGAAAGAGGAGGAGGAAGAGCAGGCUGUUACAAUACAAAAAGAAGUAGAGGGUGAGGCUGUUACAGUGAAAGAAGAAGAGAAAGACGUUACAGUGAAGGAAGAGGAAGACGCGUUCAGAGUGAAAGAGGAAGAUGUUACAGUAAAAGAAGAGGAGAAAGAGGAGGAUGCAGUUUUUGGAGUGAAAGAGGAGGGGGAGAUCACUGUCACAUUGAAAGAGGAAGAAGAGGAGGUUGGAGAUCUGUUUAACACCAGUAACCAGAUCGUGACUACAACUAGCUUACUAAGUCUUUAACCACACUGUGUUGUUACACUGGUGAGUAAAAACUCAUGCUUCCUACACUAACUUUUUGUCUGAAAUGCUGUUGGUGUGGCGUAUAAUCUAGUAGACGGGACACUUCUUUCAACAGCAGCAACAGUUACAGGCUGACAUUGCAAAAUAUAUUUUGAAAUCUAUGUUAUUCAAUUAUUGCACCCAUACUGCUCGCGCGCACCAAUGAGCGUCUGUGUUGCCACGGGCUAAAAUAGAAGUCAAUUAUUUUUGUGACGCAGAUUGCGCUGCAAGUCCUGCCUCUCCCAUCUCCUCAUUGGUUUAUAGAAGCAGGUACCCACGUGCCAUCUCCUCAUUUGUUAUACCCACGUGGGUGACUGAAAGACGAACGAGUACAGUGGUGGUAAUGCACCUAAUUUAUGAAAGUUGCCAAUCGCAAUAUAAAGUCAAGAGAAGAAAAAGCCUGGAAGGAAGAGAGAUGACUAGAAACGAUUUGGUUGACCGUUUUAUGUUUGGAUUAAUUGGCAGAGUUGAGGACUUUGUGCAUUUCAGGUAAAAUAACAACUCAAUGUUCAUAACCCAGGACAAAUUAGCUAGCUAAAUUGCCAUAAAUGCUUUUCGACCUGUCACCAAAUUAAUAUAAUUGGUUGAGUUUGUUUGAUAUUUUAACCUGCGUGUCGUGAUCGCGUUUAAAAAUAUUUAGAUAAUUAUAAAAUACAUUUAUGCACGAUGGCGCAGCCGGUUUGGGUUCCGUUUUAGUCUGCCACCUCCGUAGCUUGCUAGCCAAAAUUGCCAAAACAACAAAGCAUUUUUUUUCACCCCAAUUUCGUGGUAUCCAAUUGGUCCAACACCUAAUUACGCAUAAGACGAGUGCAGUGUCGAGUGGUCUUGUCUCAUCGCUGCAACUCCCGUACGGACUUGGGGGAGGCGAAGGUCGAGAGCCAUGCAUCCUCCGAAACACAACCCGCACUGCUUCUUGACACAAUGCCCAUCCAACCCGGAAGCUAGCUGCACCAAUGUGUCGGAGGAAACACCGUACACCUGGAACCGUGUCAGCGUGCACUGCGCCCGGCCUGCCACAGGAGUCGCUAGUGCGCGAUGAGACAAGGAUAUUCCUGCCGGCCAAACCCUCCCUAACCCGGACGACUUGUGCGCUGCCCCAUGGGCCUCUCGGUCGCGACAGAGUCUGGACUCGAACCCAGAAUCUCUAGUGGCACAGCUAGCACUGCGAUGCAGUGAGGCUCGCCACUCAGGAGGCUCGUAAAAUAAAGCUCUUUAGACGCUUUCGUGUAUAUUAGCCACUGUGUUUUAAACCCUUCUCAAAGUUGGUGCCUUGACGAAUUUGUAAAAAACGGUUUGUCAAAAAACACUUUUAUUGGCAAGUCAGUUAAGAACAAAUUCUUAUUUACAAUGACGGUCUACCCCGGACAACGCUGGGCCAAUUGUGCACCGCCAUAUGGGACUCCCAAUCAUGGCCGGUUGUAAUACAGCCUGGAUUCGAACCAGGGUGUCUGCAGUGACGCCUCAAGCACCGAGAUGCAGUGUCUUAGACUGCUGCGCCACUCGGGAGCCCCAAAAUCAUGUUCUAGUGCUGUCCCCAACUAAAAUAAUUCUUGGUCAGCCAAGAGUCAUCUGUUCUUUCUACCAAUCGCCCCGUAUUUUAAUAAAUCAACUAUAUGUAUGUACGUAACUUGUCUGAUGCUUUAAGCACGCUGUUUGAUUAAAUAAUUAAGAUACACAAAUGACUAGGCCAGUCAUCAAGAUAACCUGACCGGAGGGAGCCGGUCGUCAACGUAACCUGACCGGAGGGAGCCGGUCGUCAACGUAACCUGACCGGAGGGAGCCGGUCGUCAACGUAACCUGACCGGAGGGAGCCGGUCGUCAACGUAACCUGACCGGAGGGAGCCGGUCGUCAACGAAACCUGACCGGAGGGAGCCGGUCGUCAACCAAGCCUGACCGGAGGGAGCCGGGCGUCCGCUGCUGGACUUUGUAAAUUCUGCCGUUCUGCUUCUUCAGUAAUAGACUAAUAGACUACAGAUAGAUAGACUAAUAGACUACAGUAAUAGACUACAUCAGCAGUCGUCAACCUUUUCCAUUUGGAGUGCCAAUUUAUCUGACCAUUUCUACCAAUCUGUGUGCCAGUUAUGAUUUUCAUAUGCACAUUUUCGUGGAACAGUUUCAUUUAAUUUAUAAUAGUAUCUCAAAAUUAUUGUCUGUGAUUAAUCUACAUUCUAUCUAAAUCUAAAUGAGAAUUAUACAAGUCUAAAAGUAACUUUUAUUGCCAUUGCCAACAAUGUAAAAAUAGCCUACAUAAAGCCAACAAAUAAAAACAUUGCAGUCUGCAGGUAGAAAAUAUCCUAUAAAUCACAUUUGCUGCACAUGACCUGUCUACAACGAUCUUUAAACAUUGUAUCAACUAUCAACUGGGUCCUCCGAAACUUGCAACAUUGUAUAAAAUAUUCUAGGCCCUCAGUUUCCCGGUCGGCUAUUUGUGCAAGGGAUAAGAAGUAAUCAGGUAUUUUAAGACAUUUCCACUGGAUCAGAGCAUUACAUUUUUCCCUUUUAUGCCGAGUGGUUAUCGAAAGGGCGGGAGCUGGAAAUAUACGAAAAUACUUUGAGGAACUAUUGUCAUUCGCAAUUGAUUUUGAUUAGACUUUGUUUACUUGCUGUUUGAGGUGAAGAAAAAUGUAUUUGAGAAGCUCCACAACUCAUUAGUGGUGGUGUGUUAACAAACCUCCAAACGAGCUUCAAUGCCGUACAACACUCCUUCCGUGGCCUCCAACUGCUCUUAAUCGCUAGUGAAACUAAAUGCAUGCUCUUCAACCGAUCGCUGCCCGCACCCCCCCGUCUAGCAUCACUACUCUGGACGGUUCUGACUUAGGUAUUUAUAGUUGUCGACAUAUUCUAGGUGUCUGGUUAGACUGUAAACUCUACUUCCAGACUAAUAUUAAGCAUUUCCAAUCCAAAAUUAAAUCUAGAAUCAGCUUCCUAUUUCGCAACAAAGCCGCCUUCACUCACGCUGCCAAACAUACCCUCGUAAAACUGACUAUCCUACCGAUCCUUGACUUCAGUGAUGUCAUUUUCAAAAUAGCCUCCAACACUCUACUCAGCAAACUGGAUGCAGUCUAUCACAGUGCAAUCCGUUUUGUCACCAAAGCCCCAUAUACCACCCACCACUGCGACCUGUAUGCUCUCGUCGGCUGGCCCUCGCUACAUAUUCGUCGCCAAACCCACUGGCUCCAGGUCAUCUAUAAGUCUUUGCCUGGCCGCCUUCACUCAGCUCACUGGUCACCAUAGCAACACCCACCCAUAGCACACGCUCCAGGAGGUAUAUCUCACUGGUCAUCCCCAAAGCCAACACCUUCUUUGGCCGCCUUUCCUUCCAGUUCUCUGCUGCCAAUGACUGGAACGAAUUGCAAAAAUCGCUGAAGUUGGAGACUUAUAUCUCCCUCAAUAACUUUAAGCAUCAGCUAUCUGAGCAGCUUACCGAUCGCUGCAGCUGUACACAGACCAUCUGUAAAUAGCCCAUCUGUUAAUAGCCCAACUGCCUACCUCAUCCCCAUGUUUUUAUUUACUUUUUUGCUCUUUUGCACACCAGUAUUUCUACUUGCACAUCAUCAUCUGCACAUCUAUCACUCCAGUGUUAAUUUGCUAAAUUGUAAUUACUUCGCUACUAUGGCCUAUUUAUUGCCUUACAGUGUGUGCAAAUGGAGUAAGGAGGUAUGUAGAUUUUUCUAUUGCGUUAUUGACAGUACUUUUGGUGUGGGGGCUGUGCUUUGGCAAAGUGGGUGGGGUUAUAUCCUUCCUGUUUGGCCCUGUCCGGGGGUAUCAUCGGAUGGGGCCACAGUGUCUCCUGACCCCUCCCGUCUCAGCCUCCAGUAUUUAUGCUGCAGUAGUUUGUGUCGGGGGGCUAGGGUCAGUGUGUUAUAUCUGGAGUACUUCUCCUGUCUUAAUUUAAGUAUGCUCUCUCUAAUUCUCUCUUUCUUACUCUCUCUCGGAGGACCUGAGCCCUAGGACCAUGCCUCAGGACUACCUGGCAUGAUGACUCCUUGCUGUCCCCAGUCCACCUGGCCGUGCUGCUGCUCCAGUUUCAUCUGUUCUGCCUGCGGCUAUGGAACCCUGACCUGUUCACCGGAUGUGCUACCUGUCCCAGACCUGCUGUUUUCAACUCUCUAGAGAGCAGGAGCGGUAGAGAUACUCUUAAUGAUCGGCUAUGAAAAGCAAACUGACAUUUACUCCUGAGGUGCUGACUUGCUGCACCCUCGACAACUACUGUGAUUAUUAUUAUUUGACCAUGCUGGUCAUUUAUGAACAUUUGAACAUCUUGGCCAUGUUCUGUUAUAAUCUCCACCCGGCACAGCCAGAAGAGGACUGGCCACCCCUCAUAGCCUGGUUCCUCUCUAGGUUUCUUCCUAGGUUUUGGCCUUUCUAGGGAGUUUUUCCUAGCCACCGUGCUUCCACACCUGCAUUGCUUGCUGUUUGGGGUUUUAGGCUGGGUUUCUGUACAGCACUUUGAGAUAUCAGCUGAUGUAAGAAGGGCUAUAUAAAUAAAUUGGAUUUGAUUUGA